rnacentral:rRNA from 1 species
UGGGGAAUAUUGGACAAUGGGCGCAAGCCUGAUCCAGCCAUGCCGCGUGAGUGACGAAGGCCUUAGGGUUGUAAAGCUCUUUUUGGCGGGGAAGAUAAUGACGGUACCCGCAGAAUAAGCUCCGGCUAACUUCGUGCCAGCAGCCGCGGUAAUACGAAGGGAGCUAGCGUUGUUCGGAAUCACUGGGCGUAAAGCGCACGUAGGUGGGCAGUUAAGUCAGGGGUGAAAGCCCGAGGCUCAACCUCGGAAUUGCCUCUGAUACUGGCUGUCUAGAGUUCGAGAGAGGUGAGUGGAAUUCCUAGUGUAGAGGUGAAAUUCGUAGAUAUUAGGAAGAACACCGGUGGCGAAGGCGGCUCACUGGCUCGAUACUGACACUGAGGUGCGAAAGCCAGGGGAGCAAACGGGAUUAGAUACCCCCGUAGUCCCUGAGCGGGCUGGCAAGGCGCAU